AGCAGCCGCGGUAAUUCCAGCUCCAAUAGCGUAUAUUAAAGUUGUUGCAGUUAAAAAGCUCGUAGUUGAAUUUCGGGAUCAGUAUGUUGGUCGUGCUUCGGUACGUACUGUCAUUACUGGUUUCUACCUUCUGAAGAACCUUGAUGUCAUUAAUUUGGUGUCUUGGGGAAUCAGGACUGUUACUUUGAAAAAAUUAGAGUGUUUAAAGCAAGCAUACGCUUGAAUACAUUAGCAUGGAAUAAUGAAAUAGGACGUUUGAUUCUAUUUUGUUGGUUUCUAGGAUCGACGUAAUGAUUAAUAGGGAUAGUUGGGGGCAUUAGUAUUCAAUUGUCAGAGGUGAAAUUCUUGGAUUUAUUGAAGACUAACUACUGCGAAAGCAUUUGCCAAGGAUGUUUUCAUUAAUCAAGAACGAAAGUUAGGGGAUCGAAGACGAUCAGAUACCGUCGUAGUCUUAACCAUAAACUAUGCCGACUAGGGAUCGGAUGAUAUUAUUUUUAAUGACUCAUUC
rnacentral:rRNA from 1 species